UCAUGCGUGUGUAUUUUAUGUGUUAUGUGACGUCACAAUUACGCCACGUUUGACUGCUGGUAAUCAUUUUUUAUCUUUCUUUUCCGAUCACCUCGCAGUCCAAGUGUACUGUUGCAUUUAUAUCUGCCAACAUCCAUCUUGUUUAAAUAGUUACCCCUGAGCGGCCCUGUGUUUGCCUGCUAUCUUGUCCUAAAAUUGUUCGGUCGGGAACCAGAUGGGGAAUCCAAAUUGAUACUGCAAAGGUUAUAUGAGAUAAAAAAAGGAGCUGUUUCUGUAUCUUUGGUACCAAUUUCAAAUUGAUACAUUUCUGUGCGGGUGGUGAGGUUGUGGGCAUCAGUUUCCGGCACUAAUAACUGAUCUGAUUCCACCGGCCGGGAACCAGUUGGGGAAACCAAAUCGAUACUGCGAAGGAUAAAGGUUAUAACAGACAAAAAUGAGCUGUUUCUGUAUCUUUGGUACCAAUUUCAAAUUGAUACAUUUCUGUGCGGGUGGUGAGGUUGUGGGCAUCAGUUUCCGGCACUAAUAACUGAUCUGAUUCCACCGGCCGGGAACCAGUUGGGGAAACCAAAUCGAUACUGCAAAGGAUAAAGGUUAUAACAGACAAAAAUAAGGUAUUGAGGGCAAAAACAGUCGAUAAAUAACACGGAUGUUUUGUUACCUACACCUCAUCUCCGCUUAUGAGAAGCCACGUUUGAAACUUUCUGGGUGACUGUUAUUAUUUUUAUUUUAUGACCACCAGUUUGAGCAACCAAUUAGGGUGUACUGGGUUGAAGGCUUUUUUUGGAUGGAACCAGCGGUCUCUGGUGACGCAUCCUCAUUGUCAGAUACUGACGUUGCAGUCUUCCCAAUAGGAGCAUGU